rnacentral:rRNA from 1 species
UACGUAGGGGGCAAGCGUUGUCCGGAAUUAUUGGGCGUAAAGAGCUCGUAGGCGGCCCGGUAAGUCCGUUGUGAAAGUCAAAGGCUCAACCUUUGAACGCCGAUGGAUACUGCCGGGCUAGAGUCCGGAAGAGGCGAGUGGAAUUCCUGGUGUAGCGGUGAAAUGCGCAGAUAUCAGGAGGAACACCAAUGGCGAAGGCAGCUCGCUGGGACGUGACUGACGCUGAGACGCGAAAGCGUGGGGAGCAAACAGG